rnacentral:lncRNA from 1 species
UUAGACCAGGGUCUAUAGGGUAGUAGUGCACUACUUUAGACCAGGGUCUAUAGGGUAGUAGUGCACUACUUUAGACCAGGGUCUAUAGGGUAGUAGUGCACUACUUUAGACCAGGGUCUAUAGGGUAGUAGUGCACUACUUUAGACCAGGGUCUAUAGGGUAGUAGUGCACUACUUUAGACCAGGGUCUAUAGGGUAGUAGUGCACUACUUUAGACCAGGAUCUAUAGGGUAGUAGUGCACUACUUUAGACCAGGGUCUAUAGGGUAGUAGUGCACUACUUUAGACCAGGGUCUAUAGGGUAGUAGUGCACUAUAUACUAGGUAAUGGAUUCUCAGUCAAUUGUCCUUUAAACAACGACCGGUUAAUCAGAAACCAAAGAUGACAGGAGAGCUUUAUUAUGGCUAGUAACGGCCAGGGUAGAUGUGUUGGGUAUUGUAUUGCUAUUGAACUAAACGAUUAGCAUACUAGUGAUGUAUACAAUAUUAGUUACUUUCAAACGUGUAGAGGACAUUUAAAGUAGUGCAAUAGAUACACUACCAGUCAAAAGGUUUACAACACCUACUCAUUCAAGGGUUUUUCUUUAUUUUUUUUACUAUUUCUACAUUGUAGAAUAAUAGUGAAGACAUCAAAACUAUGAAAUAACACAUAUGGAAUCAUGUAAUAACCAAAGAAGGUGUUAAACAAAUCAUUUGAGAUUUUUCAAAGUAGCCACCCUUUGCCUUGAUGACAGCUUUGCAAACUCUUGGCAUUCUCUCAACCAGCUUCAUGAGGAAUGCUUUUCCAACAGUCUUGAAGGAGUUCCCACAUAUGCUGAGAACUUGUUGGCUGCUUUUCCUUCACUCUGUGGUCCAACUCAUCCCAAAUCAUCUCAAUUGGGUUGAGGUCAGGUGAUCGUGAAGGCCAGGUCAUCUGAUGCAGCACUCCAUCACUCUCCUUCUUGGUCAAAUAGCCUUUACACAGCCUGGAUGUGUGUAAUGGCCCAAACCAGAUGGGAUGGCGUAUCACUGCAGAAUGCUGGUUAAGUGUGCCUUGAUUUCUAAAUAAAUCACAGACAGUGUCACCAGCAAAGCCCUCGCACACCAUCACACCUCCUCCUCCAUGCUUCACGGUGGGAACCCCAGAUGCGGAGGUCAUCCAUUAACCACACCGCAUUUCACAAAGACAUGGCGGUUGGAACCAAAAAUCUCCAAUUUGGACUCAUCAGAACAAAGGAAAAAUGUGAACUGGUCUAAUAUCCAUUGCUCGUGUUUCUUGGCCCAAGCAAGUCUCUUCUUCUUAUUGGUGUCCUUUAGUAGUGUUUUCUUUGCAGCAAUUCGACCAUGAAGGCCUGAUUCACAGAGUCUCCUCUGAACAGUUGAUUUUGAGAUGUGUUUGUUACUUGAACUCUGUCACAGCAUUUAUUUGGGCUGCAAUUUCUGAGGCUGGUAACUCUAAUGAACGUGUCCUCUGCAGCAGAGGUAACUCUGGGGCUUCCUUUCCUGUGGCAGUCCACAUGAGAGCCAGUUUCAUCAUAGCGUUCUACGGUUUUUGCGACUGCACUUGAAGAAACUUUCAAAGUUCUUGACAUUUUCCGUAUCGAGUGAUGUCUUAAAGUAAUGAUGGACUGUCAUUUCUCUUUGCUUAUUUGAGCUGUUCUUGACAUAAUAUGGACUUGUUCUUUUACCAAAUAGGGCUAUCUUCUGUACACCACCCCUACCUUGUCACAACACAACUGAUUGGCUCAAACACGUUAAGAAGUAAAGAAAUUCCACAAGUUAACUUUUAAGAAGGCACACCUGUUAAUUGAAAUGCAUUCCAUGUGACUACCUCAUGAAGCUGGUUAAGAGAAUGCCAAGAGUGUGCAAAGCUGUCAUCAAAGCAAAGUGUGACGAAUCUCAAAUCUAAAAUACAUUUUGAUUUGUUUAACACUUUUUUUUUGUUACGACAUGAUUCUAUAUGUGUUAUUUCCUGGUUUUGAUGUCUUCACUAUUAUUCCAUAAUGUAGAAAAUAGUUUUUAAAAAUUAAGAAAAACCCUUGAAUGAGUAGGUGUUCUAAAACCAGUACUGUAUAGGAUGGCUAUUCAUUUUUAUGUUAAAGGAUAAAAUUAGCAGGUAUGCUAGUCUAGCUCUGGUUACAUUGUUUGUUUUUUUAUAGCUUAGCUUGCUAUAUCACGAUUCUUUGUAGUAUGAUCUAUUGAGCAUAUCAACUCACUGUGCUACGUCUAGGGUGGCAAAAGUACGUAAACGUUCUUAAAAUUCCCCGAAUUUCCCAAAAUCCUUGUUGGAAGGAUCUCGGAAAUCAGGAGCGGAUAAGCAGGAUUUCUGGAAAAUCUGGGAAUUUGGGGAAAGUUUGCAACCCUAGAUACAUCCUCAAUAUGACAUGUAUGUAAAGGCCUUACUGUAUAUAAGGGAGAGAAGGAGAGACGAGCGAGAGAAGGAGAGAAGGGAGAUAAGGAGGGUAUGAGAUAAGGUGGGUAAGAGAUAAGGAGGGUAAGAGAUGAGGAGGGAAAGAGAUAAGGAGGGUAAGUGAUAAGGAGGGUAAGUGAUAAGGAGGGUAAGUGAUAAGGAGGGUAAGUGAUAAGGAGGGUAAGUGAUAAGGAGGGAAGAUUGAAGAAAAAUAAAGGGUUGAGUACAAGGGGCUAUUCCAGGAAGCAGGAAGCAGGAUCAUUGAGUUAGCCUGAACUGUCCUAAAUAUUCAAGAAAUGACAUUGCAUUUGUUUUGAAUAUAUAUAUGUAGAGAGAGAGAGAGAGAGAGAGAGUUGAAAUUAGCAUGUUGUAAUUGACUUGACAACCACCAACACAUAUUGAAGUUUAGCUUUCAAAAUGAAACAGAAAACCCCCCAAUAUUUACCUGAAAAUUAAGCGAGAUAUCUGACUGUUUGUCAAAGUUAGCUCACUAAUUUAAUCCUGCUUUCUGGAAAGGCUCCUCACUGUGAAUCUAGGUCAUUGUGAGGAUAGAGAAUAUGUUUGUGUCCAAAACUGCACCCUAUUCCCUAUUUAGUGCACCUACUGUAUUUAGGGCCCAUAGGGGAUCUGGUCAAAAGUAGUGCACUGUGUAGGGAAUAGGGGUGCCUUUUAGGACGUGGCCUAUUUGACCACCGACAGUUGUGUGUAUGAUAGUUGUAGAAUACUACACAGGUUUAUACAUUUGAUUGAUGUCUAUUGAGACUGUAUGACAUGAAUGUCUUAUCCUAUGAAUGUCUACUAUCUGAACAGUAUGUCUGUAAUGUCUCUUUGUGCACACGUCUAGGAAUGUCUCAAUGACCACACUAUGAAUGUACGUGUACCUCUCCAGUUAGGCAAAGGGGUCUGUUCCGUCCAUUCAUGAAAUGAGGAAUUCUUAUAGAAAAUAAAUUCAAGCGUUGAACAAUUCAAGGUUUGAAUUUGAAAUUGAAACGGACAAAAUUCAACCCCUUGAGUUGAGAAUGAAACUACGCCCAACCCUGCACUGAAUCUGUCUUUGUUCUGUCCCUCUCACUGUCUGACUGUCAUCUGUAGCUAGUACAAUCUAAAAUAAUGUCUCUCAAGUAUGUUUUUCCUAUGAAUGUAUUCAGGCUAUCUAUGUAUGAGUAUACUAGCAGUGUUAUUGUCAAUGAAUGUAAAUCUUUGAAUGUUCUCUGACUGCCUGUCAAUGAAUCUAAGUGUUUGAAUGUUCUCUGACUGCCUGUCAUUGAAUGUAAAUCUUUGAAUGUUCUCUGAUUGUGUCUGAAUAUAUUUCAGGUUCCGUAGGACUACUUUGAGCCCUGCGCGGGCAUGCAUUUUAAACCAGAGCUCUACCAAUGCCAGGCAACAUUCAGGCCCUACCCUGCCCAGGCCCAAUUGCUUCUGCCAAAUUUAAGGCCCAUUCAUGCACGAAGCCCAAAAUCUGAAAUCACUUCCUCUGUUAGUAAAUCCAUUAGCUGCUCUGUCUGUCACUCGCUCCCUGCACACAGCUCGCUCUGCAUGCGCUCUGAGUCUGUGAGUAACCAUAGCGACGGCUCCUCUUGGGCUGCUCAAUGACGAGAUAUGAGAGGGCUGUUAGCUGUUAGCUAAUUUUCACUCAAGGAACAUUAUUAUUUUCUGUCAAAUAAUCUCUCCUGUUUUAUAUUUGACAAUGUUGAAGCACUUCUAACACCAUGUUAUGAUCUUAGUCAGAUAUGACUGUACUGCGCAGCAGAGCACGCGCAAAUGGCUCACCUUCAACAUUUUAAUGAUCAUUUAAUGAUACCCGAGCCGUACCAGUACCCUAGUUAUUGAUGAAAAAAAAAAAAAGGCCUUACCCGGCCCUAACCCGAUGUAUAAUGCUGGGGCCCGUCGGGCUUGGGACCAACAGCAGAGCUCUAGGACUACUUAUCUUCUCAGUCCACCAAUAGCAGAGCUCUAGGACUACUUAUCUUCUCAGUCCACCAAUAGCAGAGCUCUAGGACUACUUAUCUUCUCAGUCCACCAAUAGCAGAGCUCUAGGACUACUUAUCUUCUCAGUCCACCAAUAGCAGAGCUCUAGGACUACUUAUCUUCUGAGUCCACCAACAGCAGAGCUCUAGGACUACUUAUCUUCUCAGUCCACCAAUAGCAGAGCUCUAGGACUACUUAUCUUCUCAGUCCACCAACAGCAGAGCUCUAGGACUACUUAUCUUCUCAGUCCACCAAUAGCAGAGCUCUAGGACUACUUAUCUUCUCAGUCCAGAGCUCUUCAUAUCAGCGUCCCCUAUUCCCUUGCAAGUGCACUACUUUUGACUAGAGCCAUCAAAAGUAGUGCACUAAGGGAUAGGAUGACAUUUGGGACGCAGUUCAACCUGUUGACCAGCCUGUUGGUCAGCCUGUUGACCAGCCUGUUGACCAGCCUGUUGGUCAGCCUGUUGACCAGCCUGUUGACCAGCCUGUUGGUCAGCCUGUUGACCAGCCUGUUGACCAGCCUGUUGAUCAGCCUGUUGACCAGCCUGUUGAUCAGCCUGUUGACCAGCCUGUUGGUCAGCCUGUUGACCAGCCUGUUGACCAGCCUGUUGACCAGCCUGUUGACCAGCCUGUUGACCAGCCUGUUGACCAGCCUGUUGGCCAGCCUGUUGGUCAGCCUGUUGGUCAGCCUGUUGACCAGCCUGUUGACCAGCCUGUUGAUCAGCCUGUUGACCAGCCUGUUGACCAGCCUGUUGGUCAGCCUGUUGACCAGCCUGUUGGCCAGCCUGUUGACCAGCCUGUUGGUCAGCCUGUUGACCAGCCUGUUGACCAGCCUGUUGACCAGCCUGUUGACCAGCCUGUUGAUCAGCCUGUUGACCAGCCUGUUGACCAGCCUGUUGACCAGCCUGUUGACCAGCCUGUUGAUCAGCCUGUUGACCAGCCUGUUGACCAGCCUGUUGACCAGCCUGUUGACCAGCCUGUUGAUCAGCCUGUUGACCAGCCUGUUGACCAGCCUGUUGAUCAGCCUGUUGACCAGCCUGUUGGUUUUUUUUGUUUUUUUGACUAUCAGCGAUUGGCUACAUUCGGGUAUAUGCCAAUCAUUUCUUAUUUAGUCAAAGCCCCACCCCCAGGUCUGUUUACUCACACACACACACACACACACACACACACACACACACACACACACACACACACACACAAAUAAAAACAAAAUUGCAUCUGUUUAUUAUUGUUAUUACUAGGCUAUUAUUAUGAUUGUUAUAAAUGCAUGAUGAGGUAAUGAUGUAAAAGAUUAAUUCACAAAAGACAUAUUCCAUAUUCUGAAGGAUCACAUUUGACGUUUGAACGAGGUGAGAUGUUGGAAUAGGGAGUACAGCAUGUGGGCUAGUUAUUAUUAUUACCACUGUGGAAGAGAGAGGGGCAGAAAGAGGCAGAUAUGCAGGGAACGUAAGAGAAGCAAGGAGACACAAAGUGAGAGAGACAGAGAGAGAGAGAUAGAUAGUGAGAGAGAGAGAGAGACAGAGAGAGAGAGAUAGUGAGAGAGAGCUUGAGACAGAGAGAGAGCGAUAGUGAGAGAGAGCUAGAGAGAGAGAGAUAGAGAGAGAGAGAGACCGAUAGGGAGAGAGGCUAUUUUUUUGGUCAAUUAUAACUAAGUUAUAGCACUUUGGCCAGCACAGUUUUGGCCUAUCAUCAACACAGCAACUGCAGACCAGACACUUUGUCCUUAAGUAACCUAUUCUAUGUGGGGGUUAUAUUUCUUCGAUUCAGAUCGCAGCUUCUACUUGAACAACCACACACCUCAGCUCAUGUUGCUCAGAGCAAUCCUGAAGAGUGUGAGUGGUUAUAAACGUUUUAGAGAUUAUUUAGAGGUUAUACAAUGGUAUUCUUAGAUCAGGGCUGCCCAUCCCUGUUGCUGGAGAGCUACCCUCCUGCAGGUUUUUGCUCCGACCCUAACCUAACAUACCCUAUUUAGCUCGUUAAUGUGUUGGUGAGCAGGCAGUAAGUUGAAUCAGGUGUAAUUAAAUUAGUGUUGGGACUGAAAACCUACAGAAUAGCUCUCCAUUGAACAUGGUUAGGCAUAGACUUGUCUUAGAUUAACUGUCCAGGCAAUAGCUGAUUCAUGUGAAGAGAUGGUGCAAAGGAAUGCAGUGAACCUGUAGAAAUGCAUUGAGAUGCCAUCUCAGCCAUAGUUCAGCACCAUCACCUUCUACAGGUGUGUUAAUCAUUAGUAAUAUGACACCUCUUCGGUUUUAUACAUUUUGUGAGAGAAAUUGUAGGUUGAAAUAUAUUCUCCUUUAUUGCUCGUAUUUUCCUUUCUUUGUAAAAGUAUCAGCAAACACAAUGAAUGUAAAAUGUCAAUAAGGAUGUUACUGUGUUUAUUCUUGAUCAUCAAACAAACUUUCUUUUCCUGUAUAUUUUGUCUUAAUAAUCUAUAUGAAUGUUAUGUGUAUUAGUUAUGUUUCAUCUGCUUGUUUCAUUUUCAGAUUAACAUCUGUUUUGUGUAUCUAAAUUGUGAAAUAUAUUUAAUAUAAAAGGCUUGUCUAUGUGGGAGAAAAAAAAAAUCAAGUAAUAAAAAUAUGUUUUUGUUGAAA